CUGUGCCUACGGGGGGCAGCAGUGGGGAAUAUUGCACAAUGGGGGAAACCCUGAUGCAGCGACGCCGCGUGGGCGAGGAAGUACCUCGGUAUGUAAAGCCCUAUCAGCAGGGAAGAAACAGGACAGUACCUGACUAAGAAGCCCCGGCUAACUACGUGCCAGCAGCCGCGGUAAUACGUAGGGGGCAAGCGUUAUCCGGAUUUACUGGGUGUAAAGGGAGCGUAGACGGCAGCGCAAGUCUGAAGUGAAAUGCCGGGGCUUAACCCCGGAACUGCUUUGGGAACUGUGCAGCUAGAGUGCAGGAG
rnacentral:rRNA from 1 species